AGACGAUGGGGAUGCGUUCCAUUAGAUAGUAGGCGGGGUAACGGCCCACCUAGUCUUCGAUGGAUAGGGGUUCUGAGAGGAAGGUCCCCCACAUUGGAACUGAGACACGGUCCAAACUCCUACGGGAGGCAGCAGUGAGGAAUAUUGGUCAAUGGGCGAGAGCCUGAACCAGCCAAGUAGCGUGAAGGAUGACUGCCCUAUGGGUUGUAAACUUCUUUUAUAAAGGAAUAAAGUCGGGUAUGGAUACCCGUUUGCAUGUACUUUAUGAAUAAGGAUCGGCUAACUCCGUGCCAGCAGCCGCGGUAAUACGGAGGAUCCGAGCGUUAUCCGGAUUUAUUGGGUUUAAAGGGAGCGUAGAUGGAUGUUUAAGUCAGUUGUGAAAGUUUGCGGCUCAACCGUAAAAUUGCAGUUGAUACUGGAUAUCUUGAGUGCAGUUGAGGCAGGCGGAAUUCGUGGUGUAGCGGUGAAAUGCUUAGAUAUCACGAAGAACUCCGAUUGCGAAGGCAGCCUGCUAAGCUGCAACUGACAUUGAGGCUCGAAAGUGUGGGUAUCAAACAGGAUUAGAUACCCUGGUAGUCCACACGGUAAACGAUGAAUACUCGCUGUUUGCGAUAUACUGCAA
rnacentral:rRNA from 1 species